rnacentral:rRNA from 1 species
CCAGACUCCUACGGGAGGCAGCAGUGAGGAAUAUUGGUCAAUGGCCGCAGGGCUGAACCAGCCAAGUCGCGCGAGGGAUGACGGUCCUAUGGAUUGUAAACCUCUUUUGUCAGGGAGCAACGCCGGCUACGUGUAGCCGGGCUGAGAGUACCUGAAGAAAAAGCAUCGGCUAACUCCGUGCCAGCAGCCGCGGUAAUACGUAGGUGGCGAGCGUUAUCCGGAUUUAUUGGGCGUAAAGCGUCCGCAGCCGGUUUAUUAAGUAUAGAAUAAAACUUCGGGGCUCAACCCCGUCUCGUUCUAUAAACUGAUAGACUAGAGUGUGGUAGAGGCAAGUGGAAUUUCUAGUGUAGCGGUAGAAUGCGUAGAUAUUAGAAGGAACACCAGUGGCGAAGGCGACUUGCUGGGCCAUCACUGACGGUCAGGGACGAAAGCGUGGGGAGCGAAUAGGAUUAGAUACCCCAGUAC